UAGUCCACGCCGUAAACGAUGUUCACUAGGUGAUGGAGCGCUUUGUGCGAUUCAUUGCCGUAAGCUAACGCGUUAAGUGAACCGCCUGGGGAGUACGGUCGCAAGAUUAAAACUCAAAGGAAUUGACGGGGGGCCCGCACAAGCGGUGGAGCAUGUGGUUUAAUUCGAAGCAACGCGAAGAACCUUACCUGGAUUUGACAUCCUUCGAACCUUGUAGAGAUACGAGGGUGCCCUUCGGGGAACGGAGUGACAGGUGCUGCAUGGCUGUCGUCAGAUCGUGUCGUGAGAUGUUCGGUUAAGUCCGGCAACGAGCGCAACCCUUGUCCUUAGUUACCAGCAUUAAGUUGGGGACCCUAAGGAGACUGCCGGUGUGAAACCGGAGGAAGGUGGGGGAUGACGUCAAGUCCUCAUGGCCUUUAUGUCCAGGGGCUACACACGUGCUACAAUGGUCGAUACAAAGGGCAGCAAUACCGCGAGGUGGAGCGAAUCCCAAAAAGUCGGACUCAGUUCGGGUA
rnacentral:rRNA from 1 species